ensembl:lncRNA
AGCUACAUGAAGAGUUUGAAAAAGCUUUUAAAAAUUUAAAUAGUACUAAACAAUGAUGCUAAAUUUUGAUUGAGUGAAAAAAAAAAAAAAAAAAAAAAAAAGAAGAAGAAGAAAAAGAAGGUAGUUAAUAUUGGGAUCUAUCAUAAAAAACAGAAAAAAAAAAAAAAAAAAAAAAAUAGUUGUUAAAAGUAGACAAUAACGAAAAAAUAAUCAAAAACAAUGUAUUUAAUAUUGCCUAAUAUAUAAGUCAAACUGAUCUGUUUUUUUUUUUUACUUUGUUUGUGUCAUUUGGAAUGUACAUAUUUUUAAUAAUUGAAAAAAUUUGGUACAUAUAUACAUAUAUAUGCAUGUAUGUAACAUAUUGCUAAUUCCACACUUUUUAUAAAACACUACGUAAAAAUAUGAAAUCAAAUAAACAGUAUUAUAUAUAUGUAUAUAUAGUAAAAAUAAAACAGUGUUUUUUUUUUUUAUUAUCUAUAUAUAAUUUUAUUUUAUUUUAUUUAUUUUAUUUUAUUUUUUUUUUUGUAUGUACAUACAUUUGCAAAUAAAAUUUAUACAUUUAGCUUAAAAAAAAUAAAGCAAAAAAGAAAAACAGCACAAAUGAGCUGUUAUACAUCAGUAUAUAUAUAUAUAUAUAUAUAUAUAUAUUUAUAUGCAUACAUAAUUUAACAUAUUAAAAAAAUUAUUUUAAAAAAUGCUAAUUCAAUAAAUUCAAAAAAUAUAUUGAAAAAAAAAAAAUUAGAAACCCAUACAUAACAUAUAUACAUAUGCAUACGCAUAGUUAUUAUUGACAUAGACAUACAACAUACAACACACAACAUACAUAAUACAACAUACGACAUAAAAGAAAUAUAAUACAUAGGUUUUUGUUCGAACAAAAUGUAUAAGAAAGUUUUUUCAUUAGUGUUUUUUGCUUUCAUAAGCAUAAUGUAUGGAGAAUCUAAAAAUGUUGUUUCUGCAUUUUUAUCAUAUUUUGACACCAAAAUAAAUUCAAAAAAUGAAAUCUCAAAAAUUAUAAAAAUUGGAAAUGGUAUGGUUUGUUUGUUGAAUGAUGAUAAUUCAACUUAUAAUGAAUGUGCUUGUACUUUUAAAAAAUUGAACGAGUUUGAAAUGAAUUGUGUAUCCAAUUUUAAAAAGAGUCAAGAAGAAGCAAAAAAUUGCUCUAUAGAACAUUGUGAAAUUUGUUGUAAUUUAAUUAGUUCAAAAAACAUGACAAACUCUAUAUUAGAUUAUGAGUUAGACUGUAAAAAAAAAUGCACAAAAAAUAAUACAAUUUUAAGUGGCAAUCAAAAUGAUUAUAAAUUAGCUUUUCAAAAAAUAGUUGAAUUCAUUCGUAUAUUUUACCCACCAACUGUUUUAAAUUACCACCCUAUUGAAAAUAAAAAAGUUCCUAAAUAUACUAAUAAAGUAUUGGGUUCAAAGUACGAUCGAAUAAUCGAAGAUUUGAAAGCUGGAUCGACAAUGAUUAAUGAGCAAAAUGAUAGUGAAGAGACAAAUUUAAAUGUAGAUGAUGAAUUUGAAAGUUUAUUUUUAUCAUAAGGUAAAAACUAUUUUUUUUUUUUUUUUUUUUUACAACACUUAAUUAGUGAGCUACAUUUGUUACUAGCCCAUAGUGCUACUGUUUUUGUUUAUCUUAGUAUUAAAAAAAAAAAAAAAAAAAAAAUUUUUUUGUUUUUUCGAUUUUUACUAAUUUUUUUGUUUAUUUUUUUUUUUAUAUAUUGUGUGUUAUGUCACAUAUUUUGUCCUAAUGUGAUAUUAUAUAUGUGUUGUUGAAUAUUGUAUAUAUUUUUGUGCCUUCUAUGUUAUCGAAAUUUUUUUUUUUUUUUUUUUUUUUUUUUCAAUUACAUACAAACAUGUAACUCUCGUAGUACAAUUUAUAUUUAUAUAUGUUAAAAACAUGAAACAUGGUUAUUAAUAUAUUGAUUUCAUUUUUUUUUAAAGUUUGUCUUCAAUGAUUUGAUCAAUGCGUUUUUAAUUAAAAGUAGACCAACAGCAUAGAAUAAAUAAAAUGAUAAAUAUAUGUGUCUAGCUUUU